rnacentral:misc_RNA from 1 species
CUAGCACGAUGCACGAAUGCCUUUUCGGCUGUGUGUAGCAACGGUGUGGAUUUAAAAAUUUUGAGGUUGACGGAUUCGCGUAUCAGGAAACUCUUGUAACUGGGGAUAGAUAUCCUCCUGAUAAAAACGAAACCGAAAUGGACAGCAAAGCCGUGACGAAUGCUUUUUGCGUGUUCUUUCUUGAGAUUAUAACCCUAACCAUCACGUCAGCGGCAAUUCCGGCCUACGUUGAUGAUGUGUCUCACGUAGAAACUGAGCAAGUGCCACAGCUUAGGUGGCAUUUUAUGGACAGUUUGAACUUCCAAAAUCACAACCUAAACUCUAAUGCUAGGGUAAAAAGGGCUCCGCUCGAGGUACCCAGGUCUGUAAAAACAAAACUCAUCGAUGAACAAGACUGCACAGAAGAUAUCCGACGUUUGUGUGGUAUAAUGGAUAAGAACAACGAUGAUUUGUUUGUACUAGAAUGUGUUCAGACAUGGAAAGCAAAUGAAGUAGCUAGCAUCAAAGAAGAAUGCCAACACACUAUUUGGAAACACAUAGUCAGCCUGACAGAGGACCACAAUGUUAAGGCAUUGACAAGUAAAGUCUGUAAUAAAGAAUUGGAUUACUUUGAUUGUCAGAUAACAUCAACGGGUGGGACAUACUUGGCUUGUAUAAUUGAGAAGCAAGAACAGAUUAAGAACCCGAAAUGUUUGGAGUACAUCCAGCGUCUAGAGUGGGUAGCUUUUAGUGAUUACAAGAUUAUUACUCACUCUGAUUCAUCUUGUCAGAAUGAUAUAGAGAAAUUCAAGUGUGGAAGGAUACAGCCUUACAAGGAUAUGUCUCAGGGGCAAACACUGGCCUGCCUACAGCGUGACAUAGACAAACUUGAACCGAAAUGUAAGAAGCAGGUUCUCCACGUAUCAGAGUUCCAGGCCGACAAUAUAAAAAAUGAUCGACAAUUAUACAUGGCUUGUACCCAAGAUCACAUUAAGUUCUGCCCUGAGAUUAGACCUGGCAGUGGACAAGUUUACAAAUGUCUUAUACAACACAAAACUGAUAGAUCGAUGAGCCAACAGUGCCAGGAUCAAUUGACUAGACAUGAAAAGUUAAUGGCAUUUGACUACAGAGUGAGUAAAGGACUAGUCAGGGCUUGCAAAGAAGAUAUCAAGACUUAUCACUGUCGGAGAUCGGUCUCAGAUGACAAAGAUAUCAGACUGGCUCAAAUACUACUGUGUCUGGAAUCGGUUGUUAAGAACAUGAGCAAAAUAGCACCAGAUUGUCAAGCGGAGAUGUUUGAUCACAGAAAAAUUUUGAUGGAGGAUUAUAAGCUGUCUCCAGAGAUCGUUAAGGAUUGCGGUAACAACAUUUUAACCUUUUGCAACGGACUUGAAGUUGGUGGAAAAACUAUACACUGCCUGAUGGAACACACAAGGCCUAGGAAGAAGAAGUCUCGGGUUGCACCUGAGUGCCAGAGAGCUCUGGAAGGGCUUAUGAAACAGACUGAUGUUGGUGAAGAUUGGCGUCUUGAUCCAGUAUUACACGACGCUUGUCAGCCGGUUGUGGAUUCGGCGUGCAGAGAUGUGCGUGCAGGUGAUGCCCGCGUAAUAUCAUGUUUAAUGGAAAAACUAGGAACUGACAGAAUGACCGAAGCAUGUGAAACAGCAUUGGUACAAAUACAAUAUUUUGUAGCGAGAGAUUUCAAGCUGGAUCCUCAGCUAUAUAGAGCUUGCAGAGCAGAUGCCAUCCACUUUUGUCAUGCCAAAAAGGUUUGGGCUCCUGAUGGAAGCCAAAUGGACCCUGAAAGAGGUCCAUUGGUAUUGCCCUGCUUAUACAGAUACGCAUAUCAUCCACAAGCUAAUAUGACUUUAAAGCCAGUCUGCUUGGAGGAAAUAAGGAGAGUAAUGAGACAGCGUGCUGUGAAUGUAGAUUUACAGCCUGAAAUAGAAGAAGCUUGUCUCAAUGAUCUAGCAUUAUACUGUUUUGACAAAAUUGCGAAAGGAGAGGAAAUUUUAUGCCUUCAAGACAAAUUAGAGAGGCUAGAACCUAAGUGCAAGUGGGCCGUAGGGAAUUUGACGGAGGAACAAGCAGAGCAUGUGGAACUUAACCCCAUCAUUUCAUCGGCAUGCGAACAUGUUAUGGAAAAACACUGCGAGGCAGAACUAAAGUCUGGAAAAGAUGAGGGUGAUUUAAUGGAGUGUCUGAUCGAGCAUAAAAAUGACCCAGACAUCCGUAGAGAUUACAAAUGUCGAGCAGCAGUAGAGCACUUCCAGUUGAUAUCUUUGAAAAGUUAUCAUUUCACUUACAAGUUUAAAGAAGCUUGCAGGCCUCAUGUUGUCCGAUGGUGUGCAAAAUCUAAAACUAAAGCUGAAGUUAUUCAGUGCUUGAGCGACACGGUACAAAAUGAUAUAAUAAAAGACAAAUCCCAUCGAAUUCCCAAAGAAUGUAGGCAGCAGCUCAGGGCUCAGCUGUAUCAACAGAGAGAGAACAUACAUUUUGAUCCCGUUUUACAGACAGCUUGCGCCACAGAUAUUGAAAAACUAUGCUUUGACAUCGAAGCUGGAAAUUCUCAGAUUCUAGAGUGUCUGGCGUCAAAAAAGAAAUUGUUAUCUGAAGAUUGUCACAAAAAAUUAUUUAAUGUUCGAAAACAAGAACUCCAAGACAGUUCUAGCGAUUUUAUGCUUUUAAAUAAGUGCCAUACUAUGGUCCGGCAAUUCUGCCAUGAACUGGAUCAGUCCCAGGCGUUAGAUUGUUUGAAAAGAUAUAAAGACGAACCAACGUUUGAUGAAAAAUGUAAGAACGUAGUCAUAAAGAGAAUGAUCGAACAGAACACAGAUUACAGGUUUAAUCCAGCCCUACAAUCUGCUUGUGCUUCGGAUAUAGAUACCCAUUGCAAAUAUAUUUUGAACAACGAACCGAGGGAUACGGAGCUUCAAGGAAAAGUCAUAAAAUGUUUGAAAAUUAAAUUCCGUGAAGCAAAACUCACGACCAAAUGCGAACAACAAAUGGCAAAUAUAUUGAGAGAGGCUGCGCUCAACUAUCAUUUGAAUCCACUUUUAGCAACAAUGUGUGCUCAAGAGAUUGAAAAAAUUUGUGGAGAAGAUGAAAAUACCCCUGGCUAUGUCGAGGAAUGUUUGAAAACUCAAUUCAACAGUGGAGAUGUUCGCAUGCGUGAGGAAUGCCGCAUAGAAGUUGCGUAUCUCAUUGAGCAGGCAAAGGCUGAUAUAAAUGUAGAUCCGCUUUUGCAGAAAGCAUGUGCCGUUGAUGUCAGCAAAUAUUGCAGCGAUGUACCUCAAGGAGCUGGAAGACAUAUAAUGUGCCUCCAGAAUAUUAUGGAGGGUCACACCAAGGCUUUGCAACCAGACUGUUACAAGAUGCUCUCUACAAGGAUAGAAAUGUUCAGAAACGCAGCAGAGUUAAUAGCGCCAAAUAGCAUCGGAGAGCUCUACUCAACGGUGAACAGGUCUCCCGCACGAAGAUAUUUUAUGGUGGUUGCAUUUUCGCUCAUCGGAGUUGUAUUCAUCAUAGGGCUAUUCUGUGGCAAGGUCGCAAGAAGAACGUUGAUGAUGAAGAACAAGUAAUUUUCCCAGAGGUAAACAACUUGCGGGAAAGUACAAAACUAAUAACUAUUCGAAAGCAUUGGUCUCUCUAAGGACAGAUUAAAAAGUGUUUAGUCUGUAAAGUCAAGAAGUUUAAUUUCAUAGAUAGUGCAGCUAGAUUGUGGUAACGCCAUAUUCUUGAGGGUAAUUUUGUGUACUUUUUCAAGAAGAAAUAAUUCUUAAUUUUUAAAUUUAUAGUAGGGGCAUACAUAAACAAAUAUUCUUCAUACAGCUACUCAGUGGCUGGAGUUUGAGGAGAGCAAAAAAAAUAAAUUGCGUCAUAAUAUCAUUUUUCUGUUCAACAGAAACCCAUUUACCACGUAGCCGUAAGGAUCUAGUAAGUACGUGGAAUAUUAUAUCCAUGUUUCCUUUCCAACGUUCCAAAAAAAAAAAGUGAUGAUUAAAAUUCAAUAGUGGGAUUUAUAGACUCUGUGCUAAUGAAAUUAGCUCGAAGAAGAUAUUCUAUCAAUUGAUGAACGAUAUUUAACUGAGAAAUAUUAUUCGAACAUUAUUUUAUUAAGACAACAAAUACUAUAAUUUACCAUACUUGUUUAUAUGAUGAAAGUAAAUUUCCUCCGUCAAAGUUAAAUGAGGAUUUAAAAAAAGUAUCACGCAGAAUUUUUCCAACAAUCUCCACUGGUCAGCAAACUAUUGUGGGUGGUAAUGUAAUUUAUGUUAUAUAGGUAUAGGUAAUAAUAUAUUGUAUAAAUUUCUACUAUAAUUAUUAACAAAUAAUAAAUAAUUUGCUGAAAGGAGUGUUAUUUAUUGAACUUGAAGUGCAUGGGUAGAGAAAGUAUAUUCCUAACUGCAAUAACAUGUAAAAGGCGUUUAUGCGUUGAUAAACGAGCUUUGAAACUACGUAAAUAAUUUUUUACAAAUAUGAAUUUACAGUUCACAAGCUCAUUGUAAGUAAAUAUUGAAUUCGAACGGCAGUUCAGCGCGGCUGCGGUCCAGUAAGAAUUGAAUUCUGUUUUUGCCGUUGUGUAGUGGUAAACAGUUUGUAAUGUAGUGCGUUGUGUGACCAUUGUAGGACGCUACCUUAGCAGCGUUGUUUUGGGUACACUUCGUCUAUUGAUGAACCGGUGUAUAGAGAAGCUCCACAAGUCUGAGGAAACGAUGCGUAUAGGUAGUAAUACCGUGCGUUUACGCUGGUAGUGCUGAGAAUUUACUUCCAAGAGAUUUGGGUACAAGUUAAACA